CGGAGGAGCAGUGCGGGGUCCUGAGACAGGACAUACUAGAUCCGCUGCUCAUCAAUGAUUCUCAUGCAACUCACCCUAAUCUUCCGGGUCCACGACCCCGGGGGAGGCCCAGGAGAUCCUAGGCUCCCGGAGUGAGCCUUUUGGGGGGAGGUUCUGUCAUAUCUCAGCCCUGCCAAGACUCAAUUUCCCAGGAGGCAACACUCACUCCCAACAUGGCUGCUGCAAAUGACACCUCCCACUCACGCAUGUGCUCACCCUCCCCAGAGUUCUAAGCACACACCUGCAAGCCAUUACAAGGACAAUCACACCACAGUAUUAGAGAGACUGUGGAAGAUAGGAGAGUUUGCGAAGUAAUGUUCAGUUGACUCGUUUCUCUGUCAUUUCCUAAGUUGUGUCUCGUACAUUGACUAAGCUAGGUUAUGACCAGUUUUUCCGCCCCUGACUUCGAGCUCUGUCUUGCCUCCUUUGUUUGUUUGACCGAUCGCCUGAUCCUCACCUGUUUAUCGACCACAAACUUUCUCUGUCCCCUUUGGAUAUUUCUGCCUUGAUUCCUGUCACCCGCGACUGCCUCCGCCCCCACCUACAAUUUUCCACAUAAAAAUCAUGGCAGAAAUACGGAAGAUGAUUUUCAGGGCAGAGGAUCCAGGAAAAAUACACAAAUAUUCCAUAUUGGACAUACACAAUUUCGAUGAGAGCCCCUGUUCAGUACAAGAAGGGCUGAAGAGCGUUCACACACCUCAUCUCUUGUUGCAUUCAUGGACAUUAUCAAGGACACAGUAUCAUAUCACAGACAUCACAGUGACGAUGAGGAUAAACUGAGAACGUUGAUGCACUGCAGUGCACUAAUAUCUCCACGGAGAUUCAGAACAUCCUAUUGAAAGACUGCAGCAGUACUUCCUGAAUGAUAUAGGGGAAGGUAAACAUGUUGCUGUUCUCUUUAGUGCCAUGGGCGGAACUGCAUAGCUUGACUGACACACGCUGACCUGCCAAAAAGACUUUUGCAGAUCUUCUACAAGUGAUGCGAGAACAUUUGUCACCCAAACCAUUAUUAUUUGCAGACCAUUUUCACUUAUAUGGCCGAAUUAAAGAAGUUUAAAGAAUUAAAAAGAACAUAGCAUUAUCAGUUUGGGGAUGUGUUAAAUGAUGCGUUGCAUAAUUAUCUGGCAUGUGGAAUACAUCACGAAGGAAACAGGAAGAGACAGUUGACUGGGACAGAUCUGAUGCUUAAACAGGCAUUUAAGAGACUGCUAUGCCCAUGGAAACUGCAGCUGAAGAAGCUCUUGCAUUACAAAGUUACAUAAAGGCUGGAAAUGUAAAUUAAUUGCCAUCAGAAACUUUUGACAAACAGUCAAGAGUUGGAAUUUUUUGUGGGAAACUUGCUGCAUGCAUUUAGCCACUAGUAGGUCAUAUAAUAAACAUUGGUGUAUAUAAAGAAGAGUGUGAUGGGAAGUAGGGGGAGCUUUUACCUCUGGUGUGAGUUUCCCUCACCUUCUCUUUUCCCAGACUUAUCAUGAACCAGGCCAGACCCAGUUGCUUGCAUUUCAGCAUGUCUAGCUCAUGACUGAUCCUGUUGUGGUGUGACUGCUGCUGUGUAACGAUACUUAAAGAUAAAUGUCAGGUGCAUUGCUUAAACACAUCUCAACCAUCACCCAUCACCCUUUUCAUCUCAACCAUCACCCAUCACCCUUCUCAUCUCAACCAUCAACCA